GACGAACCGUGCGAACGUUGUUCGGAAUCACUGGGCUUAAAGGGCGCGUAGGCGGGUCUCCAAGUCCGGGGUGAAAGCUUUCGGCUCAACCGGAAAAGGGCCUUGGAUACUGGAGAUCUGGAGGGAGGUAGGGGCAGCUGGAACUUCCGGUGGAGCGGUGAAAUGCGUUGAUAUCGGAAGGAACGCCGGUGGCGAAAGCGAGCUGCUGGACCUCUUCUGACGCUGAGGCGCGAAAGCUAGGGGAGCGAACGGG
rnacentral:rRNA from 1 species